CGGAAGGGUUCAUACUGCGCCUGAAAGGGGACAAUGGAGGCUGGAUAGAUCAACACUGCAGAAAUCGAGUUCAUUUGUGAUUCAGCCCCUUUCACUGCGGUUGUCAUGCAAACUUCCUACUUUGAUCAGCAGAGGGUGGAGAGGGAAAAAGCCCGCAAAGGCCGCGGGCUGCGGCGCGGUCCGGCGCCCUUGGCGGCUCCACGCCCCCUUCCGGAAGGAGCCGCGGGGACGCCGCAUCCUGCACCUUGACCUGUCUAGACGGCCCCGAACGUUUUGUCUCCGUUACCAAGGGCGAGGGGUGCUCUUUGACCCGCGCCCGGGGCGGAGGUGGUGGCCAAGGGGUCCAGCUGAAUCCUCGCCGAAUUCCGGAGGGAGAGGGGCUAGCGGGGACGUGCACCAGCUGUUCCCAAAGAAAGCAGCCCAGGAGCCCGCCUGGGAGAUGGGACGCCCGUCCGUGAGCCCCUUCCUCUCCCAGCCCCGCGUCCACCCCAGCCCGGGCCAUCGCGCGGCUGCAGCGCGGGGGACGCGCAGCCAAGGGCAGCCCCGGGGUGGGCCAGACUUUGGGCCUCCUCAACUUCUCCCCGACUAAGGGGGUCUGCAGCCAGCUGAGCGCGCGCUCUCUCUCCCUCUCUCUCCCUCCCUCUCUCUGUCUCUCCCUCCUUCUCUCUCUCCCUCUCUCUGUGUCUCUCCCCCUCCUCUCUCUCUCCUCUCUGUCUGACAAGUAGAUGGAUAAUAACUGCCAUUUUCUAUGCGUCAUGCUUUUUGCUACAUGCUCAGUGACUUCUAAAUAUGAUUCUAUGCAGAGGUAUAGUUUCUAGUUUGAAUGUAUUUUUUUCUGUCCACUUUGAAAUAUACGCACUUUUAAAAAACUAGAAUUUACGCUAACCCCGUAAUGAUGUAAAGCAGGUUGUUGUUACAUUGUAAUAACAGCCUACGGUACCGUCUACUGUGUCUGUGCUGGGGAAGUGGCACACGUUUGCAUUCAUGGAGAGUGUGGCGUUUCCAUGUGGACUCGCCGGAAGGUCUUUGAAGUAACAUUAACAUUAAGACAAGUUUCCUCGCCCUGUCUUUCUUCUUAGAUCCCCCUAGC